CACGUAGGAGGCGAGCGUUAUCCGGAUUUAUUGGGCGUAAAGAGCAUGUAGGCGGUUUCGUCAGUCGGUUGUGAAAUCUCCCGGCUUAACCGGGAGGGGUCAGCCGAUACUACAGGGCUUGAGGGCAGCAGAGGAAGGUGGAAUUCCCGGUGUAGUGGUGAAAUGCGUAGAUAUCGGGAGGAACACCAGUGGCGAAAGCGACCUUCUGGGCUGUUCCUGACGCUGAGGUGCGAAAGCGUGGGGAG
rnacentral:rRNA from 1 species